GAUGAACGCUGGCGGCGUGCCUAAUACAUGCAAGUCGAGCGAACAGACGAGGAGCUUGCUCCUCUGACGUUAGCGGCGGACGGGUGAGUAACACGUGGAUAACCUACCUAUAAGACUGGGAUAACUUCGGGAAACCGGAGCUAAUACCGGAGAAUAUAUUGAACCGCAUGGUUCAAUAGUGAAAGACGGUUUUGCUGUCACUUAUAGAUGGAUCCGCGCCGCAUUAGCUAGUUGGUAAGGUAACGGCUUACCAAGGCAACGAUGCGUAACCGACCUGAGAGGGUGAUCGGCCACACUGGAACUGAGACACGGUCCAGACUCCUACGGGAGGCAGCAGUAGGGAAUCUUCCGCAAUGGGCGAAAGCCUGACGGAGCAACGCCGCGUGAGUGAUGAAGGUCUUCGGAUCGUAAAACUCUGUUAUUAGUGAAGAACAAAUGUGUAAGUAACUAUGCACGUCUUGACGGUACCUAAUCAGAAAGCCACGGCUAACUACGUG
rnacentral:rRNA from 1 species